UAUCUUAACGAGAAACAUCUGAAUGACAUAUCGUCUGUCGCGCGGCUAUUCUACACAUGCCCCAACGAGAUCCUGUUGAGUACGGGCGACGUUUGCAACGAGAUGUACAUCAUCAAACAAGGCAAAUGCGAGGUUUUAAGUCCCGACACUAUGGAAGUCGUCGAUGUCAUAGGUUCUAAAACACAUUUCGGAGUCCUAGAAUGCUUAUUGCGUAUUCCAGCUUUUUAUACAGUGCGUGCAGUGACACACGUGCAAGUGUUGCGUAUACACAACAAAGACCUGGGUAGC